CAGUCGAGCGGUAGAGAGGAGCUUGCUUCUCUUGAGAGCGGCGGACGGGUGAGUAAUGCCUAGGAAUCUGCCUGGUGGUGGGGGAUAACGUUCGGAAACGGACGCUAAUACCGCAUACGUCCUACGGGAGAAAGCGGGGGAUCUUCGGACCUCGCGCCAUUAGAUGAGCCUAGGUCGGAUUAGCUAGUUGGUGAGGUAAUGGCUCACCAAGGCGACGAUCCGUAACUGGUCUGAGAGGAUGAUCAGUCACACUGGAACUGAGACACGGUCCAGACUCCUACGGGAGGCAGCAGUGGGGAAUAUUGGACAAUGGGCGAAAGCCUGAUCCAGCCAUGCCGCGUGUGUGAAGAAGGUCUUCGGAUUGUAAAGCACUUUAAGUUGGGAGGAAGGGUCGUAACCUAAUACGUUACGGCUUUGACGUUACCGACAGAAUAAGCACCGGCUAACUUCGUGCCAGCAGCCGCGGUAAUACGAAGGGUGCAAGCGUUAAUCGGAAUUACUGGGCGUAAAGCGCGCGUAGGUGGUUCAGCAAGUUGGAUGUGAAAGCCCUGGGCUCAACCUGGGAACUGCAUCCAAAACUACUGAGCUAGAGUACGGUAGAGGGUAGUGGAAUUUCCUGUGUAGCGGUGAAAUGCGUAGAUAUAGGAAGGAACACCAGUGGCGAAGGCGACUACCUGGACUGAUACUGACACUGAGGUGCGAAAGCGUGGGGAGCAAACAGGAUUAGAUACCCUGGUAGUCCACGCCGUAAACGAU
rnacentral:rRNA from 1 species